CUGGCGGCGUGCCUAACACAUGCAAGUCGAGCGAUGAUGCUCCCUUCGGGGGGUACAUCAGUGGCGAACGGGUGAGUAACACGUGGGUGACCUUCCCCAAAGACUGGGAUAACUCUUGGAAACAGGGGCUAAUACCCGAUGUGCUCAGCAGUUUCACUCUUGUUGAGUAAAGCUAUGGCGCUUUGGGAUCGUGCCCGCGGACCAUCAGCUAGUUGGUAGGGUAAAUGCCUACCAGGGCUAAGACGGGUACGGGGCGUGAGAGCGCUAUCCCCCUGACUGGCACUGAUACACGGGCCAGACUCCUACGGGACGCAGCAGAGACGAAUAUUGCGCAUUGGACGAAAGUCUGACGCAGCGACGCCGAGUGGGCGAUGAAGGCCUUCGGGUCGUAAAGGCCUUUUCUGGGGGAAGAUAAAGGACGGUACCCUAUGAAUGAGCCCCGGUUAACUACAUGCCAGCAGCCGCGGUAACACGUAGGGGGCACGCGUCAUCCGGAUUUACUGGGCGUAAAGAGCGUUCAGGCGGCUUAGUAAGUUGGGCGUGAAAGCCCUGGGCUUAACUCAUGGAAGCCGUUCAAUACUGCGAAACUUGAGGGCAACAGAGGGAGGUGGACUUCCCGGAUUAACUGUGAAAUGCGUAGAUGUCGGGACGAACACCAGUGGCGAAUGCGGCCUCCUGGGCUGCUCCUGACGCUGCAGGCGAAAGCUACGUGGAGCGAACGGGAUUCGAAACCCCGGUAGUCCUAGCCGUAAACGAUGGAUGCUACCUGUGAGGGUUGUAGAUUCCGUCCGUGCCGCAGGUAACGCGCUAAGCAUCCAGCCUGGGGAGUACGACAGCAAGGGUAAAACUCAAACGAAUGGACGGGGGCCCGCACAAGCAGCGGAGCGUGUGGAUAAAUGAGAUGCUACACGAAGAACCGAAACAAGGGCUUGACAUACAGGUAAUACAGAAUGUUGAAACCGGAUCGAUCCUUCGGGGAGCCUGUACAGUUGCUGCAUGGCUGUCGUCAGCUCGUGCCGUAGAGCUGUCGGGUUAAGUCCCGUAACGAGUGCAACCCUUGCUGUUAGUUAUACGUGUCUAAGAGGACUGCCGGCGGUCAGACCGGAGGAAGGUGGGGAUGACGUCAAGUUCAGUCAUGGCCUUUAUGUUCCAGGGCUACACACACGCUACAAUGGCUCGGUACAAUGGGUAGCUAAAACCGCGAGGUGGAACCAAUCCUGUGAAGCCGGUCUCACGUUCGAAUUGCAGGUUGCAACUCGCAUGCAUGAAGUCGGAGUUGCUAGUAAUCGCAGGUCAGCAAUAGUCGCGGUGAAUACGUUCACCGGGNCCUUGUACACACCGCCCGUCACGUCAUGGAAG
rnacentral:rRNA from 1 species